rnacentral:lncRNA from 1 species
CAGCCUUGUUAUCUCCCCUCCAAUUCGGUCUCCAAUUGGAAUUUUGGGCCGAGUAAGUGUUGGCUUGCCUUGUGUUCCCCUUUCUCUUUAAUUGUCUUUCAAUCUUUAUAGCCAUGUGCACCAUAUCAUCAAUCUCCACAUGAUGUUGAAGCUCUACAAUGUUGGCUAUGUCUUUGUUAAGGCCAUUUAAGAACCUUGCCAUAGUAGC